rnacentral:rRNA from 1 species
UACAGAGGUCUCGAGCGUUGUUCGGAUUCAUUGGGCGUAAAGGGUGCGUAGGUGGCGCUGUAAGUCGGGUGUGAAAUCCUGAGGCUUAACCUCGGAACUGCAUUCGAUACUGCGGUGCUUUGAGGACUGGAGAGGAGACUGGGAAUUCAUGGUGUAGCAGUGAAAUGCGUAGAGAUCAUGAGGAAAGACCAGUGGCGAAGGCGGGUCUCUGGACAGUUCCUGACACUGAGGCACGAAGGCCAGGGGAGCAAACGGG